AGUGAACGCUGGCGGUAGGCCUAACACAUGCAAGUCGAACGGCAGCACAGUAAGCGCUUGCUCUUACUGUUGGCGAGGGGCGGACGGGUGAGGAAUACAUCGGAAUCUACUUUUUCGUGGGGGAUAACGUAGGGACACUUACGCUAAUACCGCAUACUACCUACGGGUGAAUGCAGGGGAGCUUCGGAGCUUGCCCGAUUGAAUGAGCCGAUGCCGGAUUAGCUAGUUGGCGGGGUAAAGUCCCACCAAGGCGACGAUCCGUAGCUGGUCUGAGAGGAUGAUCAGCCACACUGGAACUGAGACACGGUCCAGACUCCUACGGGAGGCAGCAGUGGGGAAUAUUGGACAAUGGGCGCAAGCCUGAUCCAGCAAUACCGCGUGAGUGAAGAAGGCCUUCGGGUUGUAAAGCCCUGUUGUUGGGAAAGAAAAGAAGCAGGUUAAUAUCCCGCUGUUCUGACGGUACCUAAAGAAUAAGCACCGGCUAACUUCGUG
rnacentral:rRNA from 1 species